AAGACCCCAUGCGUCGCGGAUGCGGCGUCUCCAACGCGACCCCAGGUCCGGC
rnacentral:rRNA from 1 species